GUGAUAAAAAAUUAAAUAAUUUAUAAUAGUGAAUUUAAAUAUAAAACAGUACUUGAUUUUGACGAUGAACCAACAAAAUCCCAAGGCGUAUCUAACGUAAUAGUUAUCGACCUUAUUGACCGCACUUCAAACAUGAAACUGUUUUAUGAAUUUCAACUUGUGUAUUGGUUGUUCUGGCACUCCAGGAGCAAGCUGUAUCCAUAGAGCUCAAAUUAUAAUUAGUAGGGCUCGGAUUUCAAUGCUAAGUACAUACUUUUGUUGGUUGAUCUUAUACAAUGCGUUCCACAAUUCAUAUACUAUAAAGAUUUUGAAAAAUCCAUUUGUUAACUGUAAGUCUAGUCACAAAGAAAAAUGGACUGGAUCACCGAACCAAAAAAGAAACUAUAUUGCACUUGUUCUAUAGUAAGACAUGAUAGAACACUCAUCGCRAUUAGUACUUAAUAGGUUUGAAAAACGAGUAUGUAAACAGUGUUGUU